UACAAGAAAAUAGCGGGCGGCGGCUGGUCGUAUUUGUGGUGCUUCGAUUGCUCACGAUAAGAAGAAGACAUGUCUGCGCCGGAGAGUCCUCUUGUCCCUGCAGCUCCCACGAAGAAACCCAAACCCGUCUUAGACAGAAGUCGCGGUCCUCCUUUUAAUAUCGAAGCAAGGUUUCCAAGUGAAGCUUAUCCUAUUGAAGCAAUCAUCGAAAACGAAGAAUUGGACUUCCUUCUAGAUAUUUACUGGCAGGCUUCUGCAGAAGGAAGAUGGACCUGCGACCGACAUCGACGGUUACCCCCUAUUUGUGCGCAACAGAUUAUACACCUUGAAAGAUAUCAAGGACGAGUUUGAGAAGCAGAUGGUUUCUGGUAUCUUAUCACUCCUGACCCAUCUGAUUAGGUUUAAGGAAUUGAGUUCGCCUGAAUCGAGCAUUUCCACUCUUGCUAAGAACCAUCUUUUGCCUAGUAGGAUCUAUCAGAAAUGUGUGACAUUGUUCCGUAAUAGAAGAUCCCUCAGCCCCACGAUACCUGCUGCUAAACUCAAACAUCUGAUAAAGUACGUUCUUGUGCUCACCCUACAUGUGGAUAAGUUCAAGACCGACCCAGAAGACAUAGCUAAAGAUCUGGGCUUGAGUACAUCAGCACUGAGGACGUAUUUUAAGGAACUUGGCUGCAUAUUCGUGUGUGAGGAAUCGAUUGCACUUGCCACCUUACCAGUGCCUCUCAAGCUUGGGGUAAAGAAGAGAAGACAUGAUUCAUGAUGACGAUCGUAAGCUG